UACGUAGGUGGCAAGCGUUGUCCGGAUUUAUUGGGCGUAAAGGGAGCGCAGGCGGUGACUUAAGUCUGAUGUGAAAGCCCACGGCUCAACCGUGGAGGUCAUUGGAAACUGUGUCACUUGAAUAUAGAAGAGGAAAGUGGAAUUCCAUGUGUAGCGGUGAAAUGCGUAGAUAUCAGGAGGAACACCAGUGGCGAAGGCGGCUUCCUGGUCUGUAACUGACACUGAGGCGCGAAAGCGUGGGGAGGCAAACAGGAUUAGAUA
rnacentral:rRNA from 1 species